AUGUGUCCUUGUGUUCAUCAGUGUUCUUUACAGAAACUAAGAGAGAAGAGAGAGUUGUGUGAGAUGAGGGAGAAGAAGAGCAGCGCCGCGAGGAGAUGCGGCGCCAACAAAGACCUCGUGGUGGCACGCGAGAACUACCGGGCGAAAGCUCUGCGCUCUAGCGCCGCCGCCGACGACGCUCGUGGGCGCCGCUCUUUUCUUGAAGACAUCGUCGUGGUGUUCCCCUCCGUGCCCGGGUUCCAGGUGGAAGCCUCUGUCCAUUGUGGACUCGACAGCGGCGACGCGUGGCGCCGUCAUCCUCUUGAGGGCGUUGUCGUGAAGCUUAGGUGUGUAGGGCGUAGCAUGGCGUUGUACUCGGAUCCUACUGUGCUAUUUUUUCGGUAG
rnacentral:rRNA from 1 species